rnacentral:lncRNA from 1 species
CAGAAAUGGCUGACCAUGGGAAAGAUGGAAGUCACACAACGGUCACUGUGCCCCCAGACAAUGUCAAGGCCACCACAUAAGGCUGGGAGACAUUCCAACAAUUAGAAGUUUCAAGAUUUUGAAUCUCCUGAAUCAGUUCAGAAGUUGACCCCAAGGUUCUCUCCAGUAAAUCUGCAUUUCCCUUUUCAAUAAAGUUGG